UACGUAGGGUGCGAGCGUUGUCCGGAAUUAUUGGGCGUAAAGAGCUCGUAGGCGGUCUGUCACGUCGGAUGUGAAACUCGGGGCUCAACCCGAGCCUGCAUUCGAUACGGGCAGACUAGAGUUCGGUAGGGGAGACUGGAAUUCCUGGUGUAGCGGUGAAAUGCGCAGAUAUCAGGAGGAACACCGGUGGCGAAGGCGGGUCUCUGGGCCGAUACUGACGCUGAGGAGCGAAAGCGUGGGGAGCGAACAGG
rnacentral:rRNA from 1 species